UACGAAGGGGGCUAGCGUUGCUCGGAAUCACUGGGCGUAAAGCGCACGUAGGCGGACUCUUAAGUCGGUGGUGAAAUCCUGGAGCUCAACUCCAGAACUGCCUUCGAUACUGGAGAGCUCGAGUCCGGGAGAGGUGAGUGGAACUGCGAGUGUAGAGGUGAAAUUCGUAGAUAUUCGCAAGAACACCAGUGGCGAAGGCGGCUCACUGGCCCGGUACUGACGCUGAGGUGCGAAAGCGUGGGGAGCAAACAGGG
rnacentral:rRNA from 1 species